rnacentral:tRNA from 1 species
GCUUGGGUGGCUCAGUCAGUUAAGUGCCUGACUUCAGCUCAGAUCAUGAUCUCACGGUUCAUGGGUUCGAGCCCCAUAUCGGGCU